rnacentral:rRNA from 1 species
AAUGAACGCUGGCGGCGUGCCUAACACAUGCAAGUCGAGCGAGAAAGUCCCUUUCGGGGGGCGAGUACAGCGGCGCACGGGUGAGUAACGCGUGGGUAACCUACCCAGGAGUGGGGUAUAACUCGCCGAAAGGCGGCUAAUCCCGCAUACGUCCCGCAGACAUAUGUCUGUUGGAGAAAGAUGGCCUCUGCUUGCAAGCUAUCGCUCUUGGACGGGCCCGCGUUAGAUUAGCUAGUUGGUGAGGUAACUGCUCACCAAGGCUACGAUCUAUAGCUGGUUUGAGAGGACGACCAGCCACACUGGAACUGAGACACGGUCCAGACACCUACGGGUGGCUG